AGAUAUAUAUGCAACAAUUUUCGAGAAGCACCAGAAUGGUUUUGUGUAUAGCCACACGCCCGAAGCCAAGGAAAGGUACACUGAAUACGCAAAUGAUCUUUCUGAGAAGAUGAACGCACAGUGGGAAGAAGGAAACAUCUGCACAGACAACUUCUCAAAGGACAAAAGAAAUUUUAUCAGGUAUAAAAAAUGUGUUUCUACGCAGGGG